AAUGCGUACAGUUUGGUCUUUGUUAACCAAAUGAUUUGAGAAAAUGCAUAUUAGAGGCAAAUGUAUGUGCCUCUGUUGCAAUGUGCCAAUAAAUACUAGUUAUAUCUACUAAAGACCCCUUUGCCGUUGUGUAAAUAAUUCGAGCUGAAUCGGAAACAUAUGACCAAAGUUGAUGUCAUUUUAGCAUAGUAGAUUUAGUUAAAUGCACUUCUCUGAAUUUAUAGGCCAAAGUGUGCAUUGUUUGGUAACUUCAAAACUUUUGCGGGGUUGCUUUGUUUGUAAGUGCAUUGCUGCACUUUAUCGAAAAAGGUGCAUUGUUGCAUAUAUACGGAGCCCCGAUUAGUUCCUUCUACUGUUCUGGAUACAUGUGUGCUCAUGUGUUGCCAGGGGCGGAGCUGCGGCCGGUGGUAGUCUAGGACGCUCUAUAUGAAUCUCGUGGUUCCUGAACAUUUCUUUCUUAUUUUCCAAAUUAGUUUCAUGCCAUUGCCGAUUUUGUUCUUCCUGUGACAGGGUGCGUUGAGGUUGUGAGCUGCGUGAGGUCCGAAGAGCUGGUCUGCUGGGAGGACGUGCCUGAAUCAGUCAGGCUGGAAGGCUUGACUGACUUUUGCUGGCUUUGCGAGAAUCCACAGGGCUGGUCAAGAUUCUCAAGAAGUAUGACAAGAGAACUGGGGCCAUUCAAAAUGUGUUGCUUUAGUGUUGAAGUUCUUCAACACUGAGCUCCUGUACCAGCUUGUGGAGGAGUGUGAGGCCAUGCUCAACCAAGUCCUACCAUAUUGAACAAACCAUAAUCCUAGUUCUUCCUUGAAUAGCUACGGAUGCAUUCCAGUGAUAUAAUUGCUUUGAUAAUAUGUUUCCAAGCAUGAUAUGAGAACGAGAACAUGUACAUGACUAGCUUGAUGAAAUAUAUUGUAACUUCUAUGCACAUGUUAUGUCAUAUUGGGUGAUG